GUCGAGCGGCAGCGACAACAUUGACCCUUCGGGGGAUUUGUUGGGCGGCGAGCGGCGGACGGGUGAGUAAUGCCUGGGAACAUGCCUUAGUGUGGGGGAUAACCAUUGGAAACGAUGGCUAAUACCGCAUAAUCUCUACGGAGCAAAGAGGGGGACCUUCGGGCCUCUCGCGCUAAGAUUGGCCCAGGUGGGAUUAGCUAGUAGGUGGGGUAACGGCUCACCUAGGCGACGAUCCCUAGCUGGUCUGAGAGGAUGAUCAGCCACACUGGAACUGAGACACGGUCCAGACUCCUACGGGAGGCAGCAGUGGGGAAUAUUGCACAAUGGGGGAAACCCUGAUGCAGCCAUGCCGCGUGUGUGAAGAAGGCCUUCGGGUUGUAAAGCACUUUCAGCAGUGAGGAAGGCGGUAUCGUUAAUAGCGGUAUUGUUUGACGUUAGCUGCAGAAGAAGCACCGGCUAACUCCGUGCCAGCAGCCGCGGUAAUACGGAGGGUGCGAGCGUUAAUCGGAAUUACUGGGCGUAAAGCGCAUGCAGGCGGCUUGUUAAGCCAGAUGUGAAAGCCCGGGGCUCAACCUCGGAAUCGCAUUUGGAACUGGCAGGCUAGAGUCUUGUAGAGGGGGGUAGAAUUUCAGGUGUAGCGGUGAAAUGCGUAGAGAUCUGAAGGAAUACCGGUGGCGAAGGCGGCCCCCUGGACAAAGACUGACGCUCAGAUGCGAAAGCGUGGGGAGCAAACAGGAUUAGAUACCCUGGUAGUCCACGCCGUAAACGAUGUCUACUUGGAGGUUGGUGUCUUGAACACUGGCUUUCGGAGCUAACGCGUUAAGUAGACCGCCUGGGGAGUACGGUCGCAAGAUUAAAACUCAAAUGAAUUGACGGGGGCCCGCACAAGCGGUGGAGCAUGUGGUUUAAUUCGAUGCAACGCGAAGAACCUUACCUACUCUUGACAUCCAGAGAACUUAGCAGAGAUGCUUUGGUGCCUUCGGGAACUCUGAGACAGGUGCUGCAUGGCUGUCGUCAGCUCGUGUUGUGAAAUGUUGGGUUAAGUCCCGCAACGAGCGCAACCCUUAUCCUUGUUUGCCAGCACUUCGGGUGGGAACUCCAGGGAGACUGCCGGUGAUAAACCGGAGGAAGG
rnacentral:rRNA from 1 species